CCACACUCAGCUCUACCUGCGAUCUCAACUCUCUGGACUACGAUACCCAGGAUGCACCACACACUGACUCUCAUGAUCACAUGACACUGCACACAGCACCCCCAGGGAGUCGUUCACCGGAAUAUUGAUUUCCCCUGUGGUUCCAAGUAUAAUUGGACCUUCUCCACACACACACACACAGUGCUGAAUACUGUCAGUUUAUCCUCUCAACGACGCGUUUAUUUCCUUGCCUGCGAUUUCCUUUCGUGUAUGACCUUGUUUUGUUUUUCGGCCCUGUUUCGUGCCUGCUCUCUGAUACCUCCUUGCCUGUGUAUGAACAUCAGACUGUUUCUAGUUUAUGGUAUGUUCUCUCUCUCUUGCUGCUGUUCUCUGGUUUUGACCCUGCUCGUUUUGACUACCCAUUUGUACUGUGCAUUUUGUCAAUAAUCCUGUUUUAUUGUAUCUGCACGCGUCUGAGAUCUGCGUAGCCGUGACAUAAAUAUAUUUUUUUUAAUAUGUUUUAAUUGGAAACACAUCUGAUUUAAAGGUCUUUUCUGUGUCUCCAGUGUGUUUUGCAGCAUCAGAAUUCAGCUUCAGGUCUACAGUGGUGAAGCUGCACGAGGCUGCUACUCUUCCCUGCUACCAGAAAUGCACGGGUUUGGUCACAUGGGUUAAUCAGUAUGACUGCGUGGCUCGGUGUGACCAAACAUCGUGCCAGUCAACAGAAGGGUUUCAGAUGUCCCAUGAUCAGUACCUAAAGGGAAAUCUGUCCCUUACUAUCACUGAAGCUGAUUUCAGGAAGAGGAUGUGGUACACAUGUCGGUGCGAUGGUGAAGACAUCUGUGCAGUGAGUCUCCGAAUUGACCCUUUCAGUUUGCCGGUUUCUGUCCAGGCUGGUCAGUCUCUCAGCCUGGAUCUGCCCGUUCCAGAUAAUGUUGAGGUGAUCUUAAACCGGACUGAUGAUGGCGGUUCUAACACCUUCAGACUCUGCAGGAUUGAGGGACAUAAAGCUCAGUGUGAUUCUCUGUAUAAACAGAGAGUGUCGGUCGGCUCCAGUCUGCAGCUGAAAGAGGUGAAGAACCAGGAUGGAGGCGUUUACAUCUUAUGGGACAUUAAGAACGAUGAGGUCAUUGGGAUGUACACGGUCACUGUCACUGGUAGGCCAUCAUUUUACUGUGUUUGCAUAAAAAUAAAAAUAAAAAGAAUUUAUUAGCGACAGUUACA
rnacentral:lncRNA from 1 species